rnacentral:rRNA from 1 species
AACGAACGCUGGCGGCAUGCCUAACACAUGCAAGUCGAACGAGACCUUCGGGUCUAGUGGCGCACGGGUGCGUAACGCGUGGGAACCUGCCCUUAGGUUCGGAAUAACUCAGAGAAAUUUGAGCUAAUACCGGAUGAUGUCUUCGGACCAAAGAUUUAUCGCCUUUAGAUGGGCCCUCGUUGGAUUAGCUAGUUGGGGGGGUAAAGGCCUACCAAGGCGACGAUCCAUAGCUGGUCUGAGAGGAUGAUCAGCCACACUGGGACUGAGACACGGCCCAGACUCCUACGGGAGGCAGCAGUGGGGAAUAUUGGACAAUGGGCGAAAGCCUGAUCCAGCAAUGCCGCGUAAGUGAUGAAGGCCUUAGGGUUGUAAAGCUCUUUUACCCGAGAUGAUAAUGACGGUAUCGGGAGAAUAAGCUCCGGCUAACUCCGUG